AUUGGACGCUGGCGGCAUGCUUUACACAUGCAAGUCGAACGGCAGCGCGGGGCAACCUGGCGGCGAGUGGCGAACGGGUGAGUAAUACAUCGGAACGUACCCAGAAGUGGGGGAUAACGUAGCGAUAGUCACGCUACUACCGCAUACGUCCUACGGGAGAACGUGGGGGACCUUCGGGCCUCAUGCUUUUGGAGCGGCCGAUGUCUGAUUAGCUAGUUGGUGAGGUAAAGGCUCACCAAGGCGACGAUCAGUAGCUGGUCUGAGAGGACGACCAGCCACACUGGGACUGAGACACGGCCCAGACUCCUACGGGAGGCAGCAGUGGGGAAUUUUGGACAAUGGGCGCAAGCCUGAUCCAGCAAUGCCGCGUGAGUGAAGAAGGCCUUCGGGUUGUAAAGCUCUUUUGUCAGGGAAGAAACGGCUGAGGAUAAUACCUUCGGCUAAUGACGGUACCUGAAGAAUAAGCACCGGCUAACUACGUGCCAGCCGCCGCGGUAA
rnacentral:rRNA from 1 species